rnacentral:lncRNA from 1 species
UUCUAGUUCUAGAAGAUAGUAGAAGGUUAUUAAUUACUUUUUAAUAGAUGAGAACUGAUGCUCAAAGAAGUUCAGUGACUUUCUUGGGGUCUUAUAGAACCUGGGCCAGAACACAGGUCUUCUGACUGCUACUUCAGCAGUCUUCCCUAAACUUUGCUACCAAUCCAUUCUUUAUUGUUCUCUCAAAAACAAUUAAAAAAAUAGAAAUUUUAAAUACUCAAGGCCAUUACAGACAUUCCGUACAGAUAUUGUAGGGAAGUAAGAUUCUUAAAUAUAUUUAACAUUUGCUGAAUGCUUUCUAUGUACUAGACACUGUUCUGAGUAUAUUACAUUUAAUGCUCCAAGCAACUCAAGGAAAUAGAAGAAGAAAAUCUGUUGCCAUCUUCUGUGGACCCUCAUUCUGUCCUAGCCCCUCUGUUCCUAUUGACUGAAAAUCAUUUUUUCCAUAAAGGUGGACAGAAGACCAUGUAGCAUGAUGCAUAUAUAGCACAGGAGGAUGGAUGGGUGGGUGGAUGGAUGGAUGGAUGGAUGAUAGAUGGUUGCAAUAAACCUUUUCCUAAAUUGAGUUGUGUUGUUAACAUAUCAUUAUUGUACAGAAAAGUUAGUGAAAUUAUUACUGGUUUCUCCUGAUCUCUGUAGACCCAAAGAGCUCUCUGCAGGAUCUUCUAAAACCUCAGACACUGCAGAAGGAAGAGUUGAUAACUGUGCAACCCACUGACCUUUCUGCCAGGGAGUUUGUGGUUUACCAGUAUGGCCUCUCCAUCCUGCACCUCCUUAUCCCCCAGCUUCAUGCUCCAGAAAUCACCCUGAAGAUUUCUUCUCAUCUUCCUGCCAUGGAAGCCCAAGGCAGUGCCUUCCAAGGUGCCUUCUUCUACCAGUGCUGAAAACACACUGUUCAUUGGGAGAGAAUGUUUGGCCUCUGUGGGAAGCUUUGUUCUGCUGCUGAUCCGCUGCCUGGCCCACAUCACUGCUGGGGAACCCCACCAGGACUCCAGCCCUGCCUUUCUGGGGUCAUUUUACAAGGGCCUGGAGGCCUAUUUCAGGGAAGCAUUCCCUAUCACACUGAGAAUGGCAGCAGUUUCCAGGGACAGUAAACUUGACCAAAGCAUAAGUGCUAUCCUGCUGGAAGAGCAGCCCAUCUCUGACAGAGAAAGGGAUCUUCUGUCUAAACUCAUUGAAAUGAAGCAUGUAUCUCCCUUGGAGCCAGAAUCACUAGAAGAGUAUAUUCAUAAAAACAAAGAUCUUCUGCUCUUCACCAGUAUGGAACAUUUCCUAAAAAGCAUCCUCGCUGCAGAACAACAAAUCCUAAGAAAACCAAGAAAUCAAUUUGGGAGUGAAGAUAAGGUGAGAUACCCUU